rnacentral:rRNA from 1 species
CAGCAGCCGCGGUAAUACGUAGGUCCCGAGCGUUGUCCGGAUUUAUUGGGCGUAAAGGGAGCGCAGGCGGUUUAGUAAGUCUGAAGUUAAAGGCAUUGGCUCAACCAAUGUAUGCUUUGGAAACUGUUAGACUUGAGUGCAGAAGGGGAGAGUGGAAUUCCAUGUGUAGCGGUGAAAUGCGUAGAUAUAUGGAGGAACACCGGUGGCAAAAGCGGCUCUCUGGUCUGUAACUGACGCUGAGGCUCGAAAGCGUGGGGAGCAAACAGGAUUAGAUACCCGGGUAGUCCCUGUCUCUUAUACA